rnacentral:rRNA from 1 species
UCGAACGGCAGCACGGGUGCUUGCACCUGGUGGCGAGUGGCGAACGGGUGAGUAAUACAUCGGAACAUGUCCUGUAGUGGGGGAUAGCCCGGCGAAAGCCGGAUUAAUACCGCAUACGAUCUACGGAUGAAAGCGGGGGACCUUCGGGCCUCGCGCUAUAGGGUUGGCCGAUGGCUGAUUAGCUAGUUGGUGGGGUAAAGGCCUACCAAGGCGACGAUCAGUAGCUGGUCUGAGAGGACGACCAGCCACACUGGGACUGAGACACGGCCCAGACUCCUACGGGAGGCAGCAGUGGGGAAUUUUGGACAAUGGGCGAAAGCCUGAUCCAGCAAUGCCGCGUGUGUGAAGAAGGCCUUCGGGUUGUAAAGCACUUUUGUCCGGAAAGAAAUCCUUGGCUCUAAUACAGUCGGGGGAUGACGGUACCGGAAGAAUAAGCACCGGCUAACUACGUGCCANCANCCGCGGUAAUACGUANGGUGCAAGCGUUAAUCGGAAUUACUGGGCGUAAAGCGUGCGCANGCGGUUUGCUAANACCGAUGUGAAAUCCCCGGGCUCAACCUGGNAACUGCAUUGGUGACUGGCANGCUANAGUAUGGCANAGGGGGGUAGAAUUCCACGUGUAGCANUGAAAUGCGUAGAGAUGUGGAGGAAUACCGAUGGCGAAGGCAGCCCCCUGGGCCAAUACUGACGCUCAUGCACNAA